AAGCUAUAAUCACAUUAUUUUUCUUUUUUCUUGCACCGAUUAUAAACAAAAGAAAAAGAAAGAACAAGAGCUAGGUUCGGCCAUCUUUCUCAUCUUGAUUCAAGGUUUAGAUCAAGAACCAAAGAAAUCAGAUUUGGACCGGGGAAAAAUGAAAGUUGUCUACUAGCAGCCCUGUCCCGUUUUACGACGUCCGAGUAAAUGGAUCCCGACAGAGCUGUAGCUGAUGAUGUCGAGAGUGUAGCACCUGCUCCCGCACAAGGGACAGCACCGGUUGAUUCUAGACCAAUUUCGAGUAAUCAAGAAAGUGAGGCUAAACAAGCCUUCUAUCAAAUGAUGAAUGACUGGUUUACUCAAUAUAUUUGGACUAAUCCAGAUACACAACAACCUCCACCCCCGAUUGAUCCAUAUUCGAUGCCUGCAGUACCUCAAGUAAGUGAUCCGUUAAGAUUGUAUAAGGCACUUGUUGAUAAAAUCAGAAAACAUGGGGUUGAAGAGUGUAAAGCUACAGAUAAUGAUGAUGCUGAGUGCGCUGAGUUUUGGCUUGAUAAUACUAUCUGUGUGCUUGAUGAGUUGUUCUGUACCCCAGAUGAAUGUUUGAAGUAUGCCAUAUCUUUGCUUCGAGACACAGCAUAUCACUUGUGGAAUACCCUAGUAUCAGUGGUUCUGAUAGAGCGGGUGACCUGGGAAUUCUUUCAGACUGAGUUUCGUAAGAAAUAUAUUAGCCAAAGAUUUAUUGAUCAGAAGCGUAAAGAAUUUCUGGAGCUGAAACAGGGUAGGAUGACCGUAACAGAGUAUGAGCAGAAAUUCGUGAGACUCAGUCGAUAUGCCCGAGAGUGUGUUUCUACCGAAGCCAUAAUGUGUAAAAGGUUUGAAGCUGGACUGAAUGAAGACAUUAAAUUGUUAGUUGGGAUACUUGAGAUAAAAGAGUUUGUGGUACUUGUUGAGUGAACCUGCAAAGCUGAGAAGCUCGGGAAAGAGAAAAAGAAAGCUGAUUUUGAAGCAAGAGACUUGCGUAAGAGAUCAUUCAAUAGGUCAGUCCAGUCGGCACCAAGGAAGUUUCGAGAUGAUUUUAGUUGUUCAAGAGCCACUUCGGGUUAUUCUCGAUGAGACCAGAACAGACCACCAGUGAGUUCGAGAGCUACCUUAGUAGUCAGUGUGGGUAAUGUCAGAUUAAAUCAGCCCAAAUGUAAACACUGUGGUAAACGACAUCCCGACAGUUGCAGAUUACAUGAUCGGGCCUGUUUUAAAUAUGGAUCAACAGAUCAUUAUAUUCGAGAUUGCCCAAGGUUAGCUGAAGAAAACCCAGUGCAGAACAUGAGAUCGGGUAAUACUGCGGCUCGGGGUAGACCACCGAGAAAUAUGGGUAAUGCGAGUGGCAGUCAGAGUGGAAAUAAAAACACAACAGUUAGAUGUAAGGCUCGUGCAUCUGCUAGAGCCUAUGCCAUUCGUGUGCGAGAGAAGGCUUCACCCCUAGAUAUUAUUACUGGUACAUUCACUCUUUAUGAUACUAAUGUAAUUGCAUUGAUUGAUCCUGGUUCUACUCAUUCUUAUGUGUGUGAGACAUUAGUAUUCAGGAAGACUCUACCUGUUAAGUCUACUGAGUUUGUGACUAGAGUGUCAAACCCCUUGGGUCGGUGUGUUAUGGUUGACAAAUUGUGUAAGAAUUGUCCCUUGAUAGUCCGAGAUGUCUGCUUUCUGGCUAAUUUGAUGUUACUGCCAUUUGAUGAGUUCGGCAUAAUUCUGGGUAUGGACUGGUUGACAUUACAUGAAGCUGUUGUGAACUGUAAGAGAAAGACAAUUGAUCUAUGAAGUCAGAAUGAUGAGAUUGUUCGGAUUGAAUCUAGUGAUUUUAAGGUGUUACCAGCAGUGAUUUCUUUGAUAUUAGCUCAGAAAUAUGUGAGAAAAGGCUGCAAGGCUUACUUUACAUAUGUGCUUGACAGUAAAGUGGCCGAAAGGAACAUUGAAUCAAUACCUGUUGUAUUUGAGUAUCUAGAUGUGUUUCUUGAAGAAUUACUGGCUUUGCCACCAAUACGGGAGGUAGAUUUUGGUAUUGAGUUAAUGCCUGGAAUGACUACGAUAUCCAUAGCUUCGUACAGAAUGGCACCAAGAGAAUUAAAAGAACUGAAAGAUCAGUUGUAGGAAUUGACAGAUCGAGGUUUCGCACGACCGAGUUUCUCUCUAUGGGGUGCACCUGUGUUGUUUGUGGAAAAGAAAGACGGAACUAUGAGAAUGUGCAUCGAUUAUAAACAGCUCAAUAAGGUGACUAUAAAGAAUAAGUAUCUGUUGCCACGGAUUGGUGAUCUGUUUGACCAGCUGGAAAGAGCUACAAUAUUUUCAAAGAUAGAUUUGAGAUCGGGCUACUAUCAGUUGCGAGUUAAAGAAUUAAAUGUACCAAAGGCUGCUUUCAGAACGAGAUAUGGACACUAUGAGUUUCUGGUUAUGCCAUUUGGACUCACUAAUGCACCUGCUGUUUUCAUGGAUUUUGAUGAAUUGGAUCUUCAGACUGUAUCUGGAUCGGUUCGUGGUUGUGUUUAUAGAUGAUAUUUUGAUCUACUCUCAUGAUGAAGCUGAACAUGCUAAACAUUUGAGACUUGUAUUACAGACUUUGUGAGAUAAGCAGUUGUAUGUGAAAUUUAGUAAAUGUGAGUUUUGGUUAAAUGAAGUCAGUUUUUUGGGUCAUUUGGUAUCAACAUAGGGCAUUCGAGUUGAUCCGAGCAAAAUUUCAGCUAUACUUGAUUGGAAACCUCCAAGGAAAGUUUCUGAAGUCCGAAGUGUAACACCCCUCACCCGGCCCCGACGUCAGAACAGGGUUCAAGCUCAAGAGCUUAGAGGACCACAGUUGGAUAAGGGAAAGGAAAAAGUGAUCGAAUAGCCGUCGAAAUCGCUCGACAACAUCCAAGAUUUUGCUCGUUAGCUAUCGGAUUCGGGAUCAUCGAAGUCGAAGUCAUCCACACUAUCAAAGCCCCCAUUUUGGUACAAUUUUGGUUGAACUUUGAAAUGGCAUGUAUAGGACUACCCUUUUGUUGUAGGUCGUGUACCUUUCAGUUUUGUGUAAACUUGGAUAGCCAUGCGAAAAUGGCUUAUAUACAUUUUUAGCAUAGUACUAUAAUCGUUUGUAUGUUGAUCAUUAUGAGGUAUGGAAUUGUUUUGAAACAA